UCCUGGUUUCCCAGGCAGUCCCACCAGAGUGCCUGUCCGAAGACAGUAGCAACUGAUGGCAAGGGUUGCGCUCGUUAGAGGACUUAACCUAACGUCUCACGACACGAGCUGACGACAGCCAUGCAGCACCUGUGAAAUUGUCCAAACCGAAGCUUGGAAGACCGUAUUUCUACGGCUGUCAAAAACAUGUCAAGUCCAGGUAAGGUUCCUCGCGUAGUGUCGAAUUAAACCACAUGUUCCACCGCUUGUGCGGACCCCCGUCAAUUCCUUUAAGUUUUAGUCUUGCGACCGUACUCCCCAGGCGGAUCACUUAACGCGUUAGCUACGACACCAAUUCAGCAAAGCCGAACUGACGUCUAGUGAUCAUCGUUUACAGCGUGGACUAC
rnacentral:misc_RNA from 1 species